UCCCCCAGUAACGGCGAGUGAAGCGGGAAGAGCUCAAGCUUAAAAUCUCCAUGUUUACAUGGCGAAUUGUAGUCUAUUGAGGCUGUUGUCAGCAUAGCGAUCUGGGACAAGUCCCUUGGAAAAGGGCAGCAUAGAGGGUGAUACUCCCGUCUCUGCUCAGAUUGUCUGUGUGUACGAUACGCUUUCUUUGAGUCGAGUUGUUUGGGAAUACAGCUCAAAGUAGGUGGUAAAUUCCAUCUAAAGCUAAAUAUUGGUGCGAGACCGAUAGCGAACAAGUACCGUGAGGGAAAGAUGAAAAGAACUUUGAAAAGAGAGUUAAAGAGUACCUGAAACUGUUGAAAGGGAACCGUAACAUUUCCAGUGUUGUAUCCUGUGCAUAUUUCAUUAGCGGAGUAAUUUGCUGGUGCCCUGUGCAUGGGUGUGACGUCAGGGUCAGUUUGUAUGCCGCGGGAGAUGGUUAGUGAGGAGGUGCGUCACUUCGGUGUCAGUUAUACCUUGCUAUCUAGUAGCCGUGGUUGAGACUGAGGUGCCUACAACAUGCCUUGAGGUUCGGUGUUGUCUCGUUGUGGUGACUGCUUGGAUAGCUUGCUAUGCCUGUGGUUAAUCAUGGCGAUUGAUGAUGUCGAUAACCUCUGCUGUUCGGGACUCUGGCGAAAUGGAGUGUUACGACCCGUCUUGAAACACGGACCAAGGAGUCUAACAUGUGUGCAAGUAUUAGGGCGUGGAAACCCAAAUGCGUAAUGAAAGUAAAUGGUGCUUAUGCAUCUGUGGUAGGAAAGGGCUGUAAUGGUCCUGGCACUAUCGACCGAUCAUGAACCUACGGGUGAAAGAUUUGAGUAUGAGCAUAUAUGUUGGUACCCGAAAGAUGGUGAACUAUGCCUGAAUAGGGUGAAGCCAGGGGAAACUCUGGUGGAAGCUCGUAGCGAUUCUGACGUGCAAAUCGAUCGUCAAAUUUGGGUAUAGGGGCGAAAGACUAAUCGAACCAUCUAGUAGCUGGUUCCCUCCGAAAUUUCCCUCAGGAUAGCAGCAACUUUUUACGAUAGUUUUAUGAGGUAAAGCGAAUGAUUAGAGGCCUCGGGGAAGAAACUUCCUCGA
rnacentral:rRNA from 1 species